AUGCUCGCUCAACGUUACUCGUCCGUCGUGGCCACGACCCGCGCCGCGGUAUCCGCGUCCGGGGCUCGCUCCGGCGCGCGUCAAACGGCGUUUAAGCCCGCGUGCGUGCCCGCGCGUAACCCCAAACCCGCCGAUCUCUUCUCCGGCCUCUCGGGAAAUUCUCUGUCGGCAGAUCCGGCGCGUCGGGGCCAGCGCGUGACGACCGGCGUCGGGCCCAGGUUCGACGCGGUGGUGUCGCGCCCGCCCCCGACCGAGGGUAUGGGCAUGAACCACGUUCUUUUCGUGGAGAUUGGGAUGGGUGCCGACCAACACGGUCAGGACGCGACCAAGGCGGCCGUCCGCGCUUGUCGCAACGCAAUUGAAUUUAAUUCAAUACCCAGCAUCAGGCAGAUCGUUCCCGGCGGCUACGACAACAUGAAGCUUCACAUCCAGAUCGGCGUGCCCAAGGGCGCGG
rnacentral:lncRNA from 1 species